AAGUUCAUCUAAACAAAAUGAGGAAAAAGCAUAGUUUUCAGAAAGCACAGUAAUAGCAAUCCUGGACUCGUUAAUUGCGUUGGAGAGUGCAGGUGUUAUUUUGUCUCCUCUCGGAAGCUCCUGAUCAUCAAUGAAAGUGUAGAUUCCCCUGUCACCAAGAGCUUUGUAGAGGUUGCCAGUGAAACCAUUGCGUGUGUCUAAACCUCUGAAGCUGAGGAACACAUCGUAGAUGGAUGCAAGGGAACGUGUUGUCGCAGCCAUUAUCAGAAUAAAAAAAUUUUAGUAUGGUAAUGGUUGAUAUGAUAGGAGUGUAGAAUCAAACUUGAACAAAUAUGAAGAUGAAAGUAUACCAAAUGUUAUAAAAGUCAAGUCAAGCUCUUGUUAUCCAUCAAUAAAUUUAGUAUGGAAAUGGUUGAUAUGAUAGGAGUGUAGAAUCAAACUUGAACAAUUAUAAAGAUGAAAGUAUAGCAAAUGUUAUAAAAGUCAGUAAGCUCUUAUUAUCCAUCAAUAAAUUUAAUAAAUAUUUUAUAUUAAUGUCACGAUAAAGAAUAUCUUUAAUAUAAACUUAAUUCCUAAUUAACUACCUACAAGUUAUGAGACUAGUUGUAAAAAAAUUAUAUUUUAUAAUCAGAUCAUUUACAAACUAAGCAUUUUCUUUUGUAGAAGUAUAAAAUUAUUUUUAAUAUUUGCUAAUGUAUUUAAAAUAAUUAACUGGUGGUACUAAAUUUCAAUUUCUCCCCGUCCCCCAUUAAAAUUGUUAGACGUAAAAAAUUAGUAAAUUUCACAAAUUCUGUGAGCUGCGAUCAAUGUGCAAGAGCACAUUCUUUCAACUCCAAGUUCAAGGCUAUAUUCGGAAAUUUAGCUCUCAAAAAGGAAACCAAAUUCAAAAUUAUGAUUCAUUUAACUUUCCAUAGGAUGAGAACUAGAUGUUUGUUCCAAAGCAAAGGACGUUUAGAUAAAUAAAUCUAAGUUGGUGGAAAUUAAUUUAAAACUGAAUUACAAUUUUAGUUUUCAAACAAUAUUUUCAGAUCGAAUUCAAUUUUUACAUCCUAUUAAUAUAAAAAAAUUAUCCUACCAAUUCAUCAGAAAUAAAAGUAGACGUGACUUGUGAAGUGGUUAAUAUUUCAAUAAUUAAUUAUAUACAUAUUUAAUUAUUAUUAUUAUAAUUAAUUAUAGAAAUAAGUUUUGUAUCUAAAAUUGUUAAAUAAAAUACUACUUUAAAAUAAUUUAUUUUAUUUAAAUAGUUUUAAAAAUACUUUUAGUAUGAAAUUUUUUAUUAUAAAUAUAAAUUUAUUAGUUCCUGAUAACAAAAAACGGUUAUUAAUUCCUUUUUAAAAAACAUAAAGUUAUUAAUCACCUACUAUUGUGACCAUAAAAUUUCUGAUAACAAAUCACAUGUGCCCAUGCCAAGUUGCCAACUCCAAUCCAACCAUUGUUCUUUAGGUCAAAGUCCAAGAACAUGAGCUGAAUGGGUUACCAAUUUAAAAAUAACGCAUCCCCCCUCUGAAUGUGAGAUAUACCACUUGUUACUUUGGUCUCCUGGCGUCAUUGUCAAGAUGUUUUCAAACUCAACACUGAUUGAAGCUCCUUGGGGAAUCAGUCCUGAUCCUUUGGGUUAGGUUGACAUUUUCAGUGAUUUCUCUUGGGAAAUGGUUGGUUUGCUUUUCUGGUUUGUGUACAUGUUGCUAUGCAAACAUUGAUGCUUAACUCUUUGCCAUCUUUCAUGAUCUCAAUGUAGCUCCGAGCUCCGGUUAUUGUUAUUGGCAUUGGCAUUAAUUACAUACUUAUGACAUUCUUUAUCUCAACAUUAUUAUAAAUAAAUAAAACAUAAAAAUAUUGAUCAUCAAAUUUAUGCAGUUAAAAGAUUCACAUUUAUUUUAGUAUUAUCAAAUAAGACUUAUUAAAAAAUAAUCAUCUCAAAAUAAGGCCGUCAAAAUUUACAAAAAAUAUUUUUUUAAAUUAAUGAGGUAAAAUAAUCGCCUACAUGCAAUGUGGUGUCAUGUAAGUAAAAAACCACUCUGAGACAUUUAGGAAUACAUAACAAGACACACCACACAAUGAGUAUGUUAGGUCACUAUCACUAAGUAAAAUCAUAAGGUGACCAGCCAGUGUUACUCUGUUUUGCGAGAAUAUUCCAACCAUAUGAGAUCAAUUUAAACUUAAAGAAGUACUCAAAUCGAAUGGUUUUACCCUCAAGGUCUAGACUCCCAAGAAUCCGUUAGGGUCUCACCUUCCUAAUUCAGGUCCAACCCUUCAAACAAUUUUUGCAAGCAGAUACUGCUCAUGAAUUAUAUAAUACCCAUGAACUCACACUUGUGUUUUAAACACGUUUAACAUAUUGCGCUACAAUUUAACACUAAUUCCUAACUAGAAAACCUACUUUCUCCCUUUAACAUUGUGCAUCAAUAUUUUUCUCAAGAUAAACACUGGUCGGGUAAUUGUAUAAUUCACAACUCAAAACACAAGUAAUGUCACAUCAAGUGUUAACCACACACUUAUGCACAACUAACACAACUAAAACUUAUGUUUACAACUUCACAUCUCAUUAUGUCACAAUCAACCAUCUCAUGUUUAUAUGUAUCUCGCAAUUUAACACAUUCAACUUUACACUUAUACUCAAUCCCCAUAACAAUAUAAUAAUUUCAAAGUAAUAUAUUAUUCUACAACUCAUCAUAUACUCAAUUUAUCAAUUAUAUACAAUUUUAAUUACAAUUUCAUAAUUUUGAUAUAACUAUUUGGUACACUAAUCUUAUUCAAAAAACAAAUAAAUUAUACAAAAAUAUUUCUCAAUUCACGGGGAGUAAAUUAUACAAAUAAAUUAUACAAAAAUAUUUAAAAAAACUAUAUUUAUUUUAUUUUAUAAAUAAGUACAAAAAUGUCACAAUAUUUUUCUCUAUUUUUAAAUAUUUAUGAAAAUGAAAAGUAAGAUAUAAUAUGUAAAGCAUAUAUUGCUAUUUUGGACUUUUUUUGGGGGGAUGUUGUUACCAUGACUAUCCACUUUCUCCCUCGAAAGACAAGGCAUCCAAUUUUAAUAUGAUACAUUAAGGGAUGUUUGGUAGAAGAAAAAUACUUUCUGUUAUGGUUCGCGUCAGGGAUGGGGUAGAGGAAGGAGAUGAAAACGCAGAAUGUUCACAAGCCCUUAUUCGAGAAAGGGGAAAACUCCUUUAUUUCUUGAAGGAUAAUGUUCUUACAUUCUACGAUUAUACAUGUUCAGUAUUUAAAGUGAUUCUACGUAACUGCCUAACAAAUUCAGUUACGUCUAACGGUAUCGGGUUCGAGUAGAAUACGUGGUCCAAGCUUUCGAAAAUUAAGCACGUGUGGUGUAAGCUUGCCCUAACUACCCCUGGUUAUGUUUGGGCCUUUAUGGAGAGCCAUGCAGGUUGGCAACGUGAUAAUCCUUCAGGUGAAAUGGUGCGGACCUGACUCGUGCUGGUCUGAGUCGUGACUGGGCCGAGUCACUAACAAUACCUCCUCCUUCCAAGUCCACCUUGUCCUCAAGGUGGUAAAGCUCGCGUAGGGAGGACCAUGGUUCCCACGAUGUGUCCUCUGGUGGUUCGCCUACCCACUGGGUGAGGACCAGUUGUGUGGGGGGGGGGGGGGUCCGUAGAGUCAUCGAGUUUUGUAUCUAGGAAGCAUAGUGGUCGUCGUAACGGUUCCUUAGAGAGAGUUCCGAGGGUCCAAGUGUCUGUGAGAGGGGGCUGGGGUCCAUGGUGAGCUCGGAGGAGCGAAGAGUGAAAAUCGGGGUGGAUCUGAGAAUGGGGUGGAAGACGCAGGCGGUAAGCCACAGAACCAAUGCGUUCUUCAAUCUGGAAGGGCCCAAAGAAUCGUUUGGAGAGCUUGGGGUGGUGGUGACCGGAAAUGGAGGUUUGACGGCCAGGGCGUAGCCGCACGUAGACCCAUUGUCCGACGGAAAAUGAAACAUCAUCACGCUUAGCAUCAGCAUAGUGUUUCAUUGUAAGUUGGGCCUUUUGUAAUUUCUUCUGAAGCCGGGAGUGUAGAGCUUGUCGUGACUCGAGCAAGGUCUGAGCAGCUUCAUUGUUGGUUGUAUUAGGAAGGUAGUCAUGUGCAACUGGUGGUGGUUUUCCAUAAAUGAUCUCGAACGGUGUUGAGCCUAUGCUGGAGUGCAGAGACGUGUUAUAACACCACUCUGCAAGGGCCAAGUAAUUGAACCAGGCCGUGGUUUGGGAGUGGACAAAGCAUCAGAGGUAUUGCUCGAGAACUCUAUUCAUUACUUCCGUCUGCACGUCCGAUUGGGGGUGAUAGGCCGUGCUGAGACGCAAUUGAGUGCCGGAAAGUCUAAACAGUUCACGCCAAAAGUUGCUUAAGAAAAUUGGAUCGCGAUCGGACACGAUGCUCUUUGGGAAGCCAUGUAAUUUACAGACAAUUUGCAGGACGAGGUUAGCUACUUUGAAGGCAGUGAAACUAGUUGGUAAAGCACCUAAGUGUACCCCUUUAGAGUAUCUAUCUACGACAACAAAUAUGACUGUGAAGCCAUUAGAGGGAGGAAGGUGUGUAAUGAAAUCCAUAGACAGGUCUUCCCAGACCCCCGUAGGUAAUGGCAGUGGCUGCAGAAGGCCUGUCGGGCGCUUGGAGGAGUUCUUAUUUUGUUGGCACACUGAGCACUCCUUGAUGAAGCGACGAACAUCGUGCUUGAGGUUGGUCCAGAAGAAAUUGGAUUGGACUCGAUGGGUUGUCUUCGCAACUCCGAGGUGGCCACCUAACGGGGUUGUGUGGUACUCUGAUAGUAGACUGGGAAUGCAGGGAUUGUUGCUAUUUAACCAUAUUCGACCCUGGAACAAUACGAGAUUGUUGCAGAGGGUAUAGCCAGGGUGGUUUGCUGGGUUGGACUGUAUCGAAUGCAUGAGUUGCUGAAAUUCCGGGAGGGACUCCAAUGACUUUCGAAUGUCAUUGAGGAAGUCCAGCUGGGGAACUGAGAGGAUUAAGAGCUGGCCGGUGGAUGAGGGGGGUCGAGAAAGAGCGUCGGCAACCACGUUGGAAGAUCCAGCUUUAUAUUGUAUGGAGUAAUCAUAACCUAAUAAUUUGGAGAGAUAAUAAUGCUGCUCCGGGGUUUGUAUUAUUUGCGUCAUGAGCUCGCGAAUGCUUUUGUGGUCCGUGAGGAUCGUGAAUGGGCGUCCUAAGAGAUAUUGUCGCCAUUUUCUAACAGCUGCGACAAUGGCAUGGAGUUCACGAAUGUAUGUUGAAGCUUGGGUCAAACAAGGGGUGAGACUCUUGCUGAAAUAUGCCAAAGGAUGUCCACUCUGUGUGAGGACUGCUCCGAUAGCGGUUGCUGAUGCAUCAGUUUCAAUCACGAAGGGAGUGGAGAAGUUGGGUAGGGCUAACACGGGGGCGUUUGUCAUGGCGAAUUUGAGCUGGGAAAAGGCCUCCUGAGAUUCUGAGGUCCAGGUGAAUGCAUCCUUGCAGAGUAAGCUCGUGAGGGGAGCUGCGAUGGUGGCGUACCCCUUUAUAAACUUUCUGUAGAAUCCGGUGAGGCCUAAAAAUGCUCGGAGUUCCUUGGCGGUCCUCGGGUUUGGCCAUUGCACCAUAGCUUGGAUCUUCGAAGGUUCUGGAGUAACUCCCUUGCCGGAAACAACAUGCCCGAGGUAUUCAAUGGUCUCUUGGGCAAACGAGCACUUGGAUUGCUUGAGAUAGAACUCACCAUGCUGUAGAGUUUCGAAGAUAGUUUCCAGAUGUUGAAGGUGAGAUGACAGCGAGCUGCUAUAAACUAGAAUGUCAUCGAAGAACACUGUUACAAAUCUGCGUAAAAAUGGUUGCAACAGGUUGUUCAUGGCCGAUUGAAAGGUGGAUGGGGCAUUGCUGAGCUCGAAGGGCAUAACCAGAUAUUCGAAAUGGCCAUUAUGCGUCCGAAACGCUGUUUUCUCCACAUCUUCUUCGUGCAUCAGGAUUUGGUGAAAUCCUUGCCGGAGAUCGAGCUUGGAGAACUAGGUGGCCUGUCCUAGCUUGUCGAGGAGCUCGUCGAUCGUUGGUAUAGGAAAACGAUCUCGAAUGGUAACUGUGUUGAGCGCCCUGUAGUCCACACACAGUCUCCAUGUGCCGUCUUUCUUCUUAACGAGGAGGACCGGCGAGGAGUAGGGACUGAGACUGGGGCGAAUGAGGCCGGCGGAAAGCAACUCAGAAACUUGUUUCUCAAUUUCAUUCUUUUGGAAGUGUGGGUACCUGUAAGGCCUCACGUUUAUCGGGGCUGUGGAAGGGGCUAAUGUAAUUCGGUGAACCACUUGUCGUGGUGGGGGUAGUCUGGAUGGGGACUGAAAUAGGUGGUUAUAACGGAGAAGAAGGUGCUGGAUGGAGGGAAGAGGGUGUUGGGCCGGGGCGGUUUCGGUUCGGGUAACGGGCUGAACACUCAGUUGGUAAAAGGCCGAGGUGGAGCCGGUUUGAAGGAACUGUUUCAGUUGGGUUGCGGAAACGGGUUCAGGCCCACAUGUAGCGUCUGCUGCUAAAGACACCUCCUGACCCUGGUGUGUAAAGUUCAUGAUACCAGAUGUGUAGUCUGUCGUUAUCGGGCCCAACUUCUUCAGCCAGUCGAUGCCUAGGACCGCAUCAGCUCCAUUGAUUUGCAGGAGGUGGAAUGAUACGAGGAAUUGGUGGCCUUGGACGGUGACUAAUGUCUCUGAGCAAACCUGGUUACAAUCUAAGGUGGAACCGUUGCCCACUAAGACUUGGAGGGACCGAGUUGCUUGGACUGGUAGCUUCAGGAAUUGAGCGAUGCGCGGUUGAAGGAAGUUAUGCGUACUUCUGCUAUCAAUCAAAAUGGUUAACUGCGUGUUCUUGAUGGUGCCAUAGAGCCGAAAGGUGUCUGUGGAUGGUAAUCCUGACAACGCAUGAAGGCUGAUAUGUGAACAAGUCGAAUCUGGUGAGGGCUCGGGUUUGUCAUCAAUGGCAGAAGGUGGUGUCUGUUCGAGCUCGAGUAUGCUUUCUUCAGUGGUGGAGGUUUGUUCAUCAGCAAUGAGGAGCAUGACGCGUCCUUUACAACGAUGAUUAGUGCUCCACUUCUCGUCACAAUUGUAACAUAGUCCUCUUUCUCGUCGGAAAGCGAUCUCGGCCGGAGUUCGUUGCACAAAUGGAGGUUUUGCUUUAAUGGUGGGAUUGGGAUUGAAGGGCGGCGAGGGUUUAGGUGGAAAUGGAUUGCGUGGGGCCAAUACCGCUUUAUCUCGAAGCUUCUAUUCUUGAAGCUUGGCAAGGGCAGUAGCUUGCAGGAGCGAAAUAGGUUGAAGGGCCAUUACCUCACGGCGAACCUCUGGGCAUAAUCCUAAAAUGAAACAGCUUAAAAGAAAUGGGGGAGGAAGGCCUACCACUCGGUUUGCAAGACGUUCGAAUUCCGUUAGGUAGUCAUUAACUGUUCCCUUCUGCGUUAACUUGAAUAGUGCCCCCUUGGGGUCCUCGUAAAACGUUGGUGCGAAGCGCGACUCAAGGGCUUCGAGGAAGCUUUCCCAGGAGGUGAUCAGUCCAUUGCUGAACAUCCACUGAUACCAACUCAGUGCUGUUCCGUCGAGAUACAGGGAGGCGACUGUGACUCGCUCUUCUUCAGGCGUGUUGUGGUAUUGAAAAAGUUGCGUAAGCUUGAAAAUCCAGCCUAAGGGGUCACGGCCAUCGAAACGAGGGAUGUCUAUUUUAACUGAGUUUCGUGGAUGAUUUUGAUGAUUUGCGGUGUUGGUGGCGUUCCGGCCGGAGUCGUGGAGGCGAAGGUGGUCGAGGAUGGCAUCAACUUUGCCGGAAAGGUCUGUGUAUCGGUCUGUAAGUGAGGCCUGGCUAUUGUUAAGACGGGUAAUUGCCUCUUCAAGGCAGUCAGUGGUGGUUUUUCUGGUUCCGUGAUCGGCCAUGGCAAUGGCGGCGCCGGCAGGUCAGACCAGUUGUUAUGGUUCGCGUCAGGGAUGGGGUAGAGGAAGGAGAUGAAAGCGCAGAAUGUUCACAAGCCCUUAUUCGAGAAAGGGGAAAACUCCUUUAUUUCUUGAAGGAUAAUGUUCUUACAUCCUACGAUUAUACAUGUUCAGUAUUUAAAGUGAUUCUACGUAACUGCCUAACAAAUUCAGUUACGUCUAACGGUAUCGGGUUCGAGUAGAACACGUGGUCCAAGCUUUCGAAAAUUAAGCACGUGUGGUGUAAGCUUGCCCUAACUACCCCUGGUUAUGUUUGGGCCUUUAUGGAGAGCCAUGCAGGUUGGCAACGUGAUAAUCCUUCAGGUGAAAUGGUGCGGACCUGACUCGUGCUGGUCUGAGUCGUGACUGGGCCGAGUCACUAACACUUUCCGAUCAUGAAUUUUGGGACUCAUAUUUUGUCACGGAAAGCCACGCCGCCAGGAGUUGAGAGUGCGUUGUUAGUGACAGUGUAUUCAACUGCAUGCAUGUGUUGCAUGUACUGCAGAUAGGAAUACUAAGAAACAAAGUGCAUAGGAUUGGGUCCAUUCGGUGCUUGCUUUAUGUAGAAAACGUAUAAGAUCCUUCCUUUCAAGUUUCCACGACUGCCAUUAAUGUUUGUAAACAUUGAAUGCUUGGUUGUUCCGGUUGGUACGUAACUCAAUUUUGAAUUUUCAGAAAACUGGGGUGUCUAUGGUCAAGUCUUUUUCUAGAAAUGACAAACAGGCAAAGGGUGGGGUCAAUCUUAUUAGGCUCAAGUUUAACUUUAAUAGAACUAUUAUGAAUAAUAUUUUUUUUGAAAGUAUUUAAUGUAAUUAUAUUUAAAAUUAGAAUAUAAUUAAAACUUCAUAAGCUGGAACAAUUAUAAAAUAAAUUUUUAGUACCUAGAAGUUUAUUACUCGAAAAUUUAAAAUUUUAGAAUGUAAAAGUUAAAAUUUUAACCUUGUUUUUAUCAUAAAUAAUACCAGAAUAAGAUUAAAAAAACAAGAUUAAAAAGUAAACGAAUUUCUAAGGAUGCAAAAUGUGAUUUUGGGAUGCAUGAACUGGAUUCGAAAGUGACUCUUUAGUCAAAAGUUUUGGGCUAUCUAAUACAUAAAUUAUAAUAAAAAAAUAAUAACACUCUAUUAUAUGUUAUCUAAAGAAGUUUAAUUACUAUUUUUUAGCUUCAAUGUAAUCUUCUUAUUUUUAAAAGGCGUAAUUUAGUUUUUUAAUUUAUUUAUUGAGUUUAAUUUAGUCUAUUUAUUUUUAAAGGUUUCAAUUAAUUACUUUAUUUUUAAAAAAGUAGAUUCACUUCUGAUCCCAUUUAAAAUUAAGACUGGUUUCAUUUUUUGGAAAUGCUGGAAGCUGGCGGAAAGAAAAAGGAACCAAAUUAAACGUGUUUUUAAAAAAAUAAAGGAUAUGAAUAAACUUUUAUAAAAAAAUAGAGGAAUCAACUUAAAUUUAAAUAAAACUCUCCACUCCACCAUUGGAACUUGUAAUAGCAGGCCAUUAAGAGCUGAUACAAUAUUGAUAUUGAAAGACAUUACUGCGAUAUAUAUAAUCUCGUAUUCUUUAAACUAAAAGCUAUUAAUUAGCAUCUUAGGCUAGAUUGCCAUACUGGGCCUUAUAGUCUCGCCAGAGCUGAUCAACUGGCUUUCCCAGUAACUGAACGAAGAACUGAUCACUAUAACCAGUCCUCAUCAACUGGUUAAGUUGAGCCACAAACCCACUUUUGAGAGAAUCACAAUAAUCCAAAAAAUGAGCAGUAAUAUCAUAACCCUCAUCCCAUCUCUGUCCUUGCCCUGGUUUUCUCCAAUGACUGGCUGCAUAGUUUGCCUUCAGCCUCACAAAAUCUGCAAUACCUCCAAUUAAUCCACCAGGAGCCUCACCAUUCCCAUACCACUGCCAAACGUAGCAAACUUGAUGAAACAGCACCCCUGUGAUCUCUCUUUUCACAUCCCCACCACUAUACCCAUUAACAUAUCUUGCACUCACGUGAAUCUCGUUGUUCAUAGUGUAUGCAAUACCCUCCAUGUCAUCCACGACUAAGCUCACCUUCUGCACAUUUUUUCUGUCAGAAGGGUUUUUUUGCUGAAAGAUCCUCCAUACGAAUUGGGUGGCCAACUCAAGUGUUCGGUUUGCGUAUUCAGCUCCUAUUUUGUCACGGAAUCUCACACCACCGGGGGUUGUCAGUGCAUUGUUUAUUACUGUGAACUUAUAUCCCUGUGUUUCCUGCUUUGUAGCAUCAAAGCUUACUUUUAGAAUAUCUACGAUUUCAUCAAUGGGAAUUCUGCUAUAAUGUUCCACAGCAUAUUCCCAUUCUGCUACUGUUUUUUCAAACAAGUGGGAACCUAUGACUUCCAAAGCCAGUGGAAGGCCAGAAGCAUAAGCUACCACACGAUUCAAGACGUGCUCAUAACUUGGAUCAAUUUUUUCUCUUCUGAAAGCAUUCCAAGUAAGCAAUUGAAGAGCAGCAUUGUCAUUCAAAACCUUCACCUCAUAAGUUCUUUCAAUGCCAUGAUAUUUUAGCAGAUGUUUGUCCCGAGUGGUAAUGAUGACUCUGCUACCGGGACCAAACCAAUCAGGUCUUCCAACAAUAGCCUUUAAUUGCUCGUGCCUGUCUGCAUCGUCUAAAAUCAAGAGAACCUUCUUUCUUCGGAGCCUAUGUUGAAUCAUUGAAGCUCCUUCUUGCCAACUUGUUAAGUUGAUGUCCUUCUCACCAAGUAAUUUUAAAAGAAGGAUGCUUUGAAGGUGUUUUAACCCAUGUUUAUUUGAUUCUUCUCUCACAUUUUGAAGAAAACAUGAUUCGUCAAAAUGGAGAGCAAUCAAAUUAUAAACAGCUAGAGAAAGGGUUGUUUUUCCUAACCCACGCAUCCCAUGGAUCCCUAUGAUAUGGACAACAUCAUCUGAUCCAACAUCCAAAAGCUUCAUUAAGUCUGUCACUUGUGACUCUAGACCAACUGGAUAAUCCAGAACAUGUAAAGAAGCUCGAUUAAUCUUCCUAGAGACCUCCUCAACAAUGCUCCCAAUAAACUUGUAUUCAUAUGCAUCUCUGUUUCAAACAAACAAAAAAAGUUCUAAUGAAGUCAACCUAAAAGCCUUGCAUCCAUGUCUUGCUAGGUACAUUAAUUGUAAAGGUUAACAAGAGCAUUUCUUUUCUAUUUAAAUUUUACUGGUAAAAUCAAAGACAAGUAAAACCUAAUCCUAUAAAAACCAUAAAGUAAAUUAUAUUAGUAUGAUUGUAUACCCAUCUUUGAAAUGAUGGCCAGACAAGUCAGCUACUUGUUUCAAAGCCAUCCUCCAUUUCUGCAGCUUCUCCAUCUUAGAUUCGAACCUUUUCUGAUGCUUAAUCAUUGCUUCUCCAUAACUACCUUUCUGGUGUCUGAGAUCAGAAGGAUCUACGUUGUAAAAGACCGGUAUAACCAACAGCCCUUCACUCUUGCAGUGAAGGAUGGUUACAAGUUCAUCUAAACAAAAUGAGGAAAAAGCAUAGUUUUGAGAAAGCACAGUAAUAGCAAUCCUGGACUCUUGAAUUGCCUUCGAAAGUGCAGGUGUUAUUUCAUCUCCACCGUGAAGCUUCUCUUCAUCAAAGAAGGUAUGAAUUCCCUUCUCACAGAGAGCCCUGUAUAGAUUGCCAGUGAAACCAUAGCGUGUGUCUUCCCCUCUGAAGCUGAGGAACACAUCAUAGAUGAAUGGAAGGGAACGUGUUGUUGCAGCCAUUAUUAGAAGAAAGAAGUUUAGUAUGAUAAUGGUUGAUAUGGUGGGAGUGUAGAAUCAAACUUGAACAAAUAUGAGAAAGAUAUAUACCAAAUGUUAUAAAAGUCAAGUACGUCAAGCUCUUAUUAAUUGUCUGUUAUAAAAUUCAAUUCAAGCUCUUAUUCUAUGUUAUAAAAGUCAAGUUAAGAUCUUAUAAAGAAAGAUGCUCUCACUUUUUUUCAUUUUAAAUACUACUUUUCAUAAUCAAAUUAUCACAAAUAAACACUAAAAGCAUUUUUAAUAAUUGGUACUGUAUUUCAAAUAAUUAACUGGUGGUACUACUUAUUCUCCCUCCCCAAAAAUAAUUGUUAAUUAGAGAAUGAAAAUAUAUAUUAAAUAAUAAGUAAUCUGAUAAUUUUUAAUCACAGGAGCUUCAAAAUUUGUCUUUUUAUGUAUAUAAAUUUCUCAUUGAAAGAGUUUUAUAAUUACCUUGAUAAUUUUACUGAAAUUAAAACACCCACACAUAAGAUGUUUUACUUUAAGUCAGAUGUAUUUGUUCGAAAAGUAAUAGAAGUUAAUUUUGUAUAAUAAAAAAUGUUAACCAAUAAUUUAGGACAUUGAUUAAAAAAUAAAAAUAAAAAUUUUGAAAAAUCUCACAUAUGAUAUACUUUCUUUUUGUAAUUUUUAAUGCAACUUAUUAAUUUGAUAACGCAACUUCAAUUUUGGUGGGUCAAAUAUGAUUUUACAUAUUUGAAUUUUAUCUAUACUUCUCAAUUUAUAAUCAAUUUUUUAAUUAAAUUUAAAGGCUGAUACACUGAAUAAGUGAUUUGGCACAGUAAAAUGAGGAAGAAGCAUAGUUUUGAGAAAGCACAGUAAUAGCAAUCCUGGACUCUCGAAUUUCCUUCAAAAGUGCAGGUGUUAUUUAUUUCGUCUACUCUCAGAAGCUCCUGAUACAGUGUAGAUUUCCCUGUCAUCAAGAGCUUUGUGGAGAUUGCCAGUGAAACCAUAGCGUGUGUCUAAACCUCUAAAGCUGAGGAACACAUCAUAGAUGGAUGCAAGGGAACGUUUCGUUGCAGCCAUUAUUAGAAGAAACAAGUUUAGUAUGAUAAUGGUUAAUUGAUAUGGUAGGAAUGUAGAAUCAAACUUGAACAAAUAUGAAAAAGAUAGUAUAGAAAAUGUAAAGUGGGGCAAACCAAGCAUUAUUUGACGCGGUCAUACAAAUGUUUAUUAUUAGGCAGAGUAACAAUGACAUAUGGGGCCAAACAAUAACUAGUAACGCGGACACAUCGUACCAAAGUCGAUAGCCUUGUGCAAAAUAUGUGGCUUUUUUUCUUUUGUUUUCUCUCUCUGUCAAAUAAGUCAAAAUCUUAUGUUGUUUAAUUUUAUUAAGGUCUCAGGUUUUGCUGGAUGAUGAGAAGAGGAUGGUUAAAAUUAAAGAUAAGAUUUCUAUAUUAAUUAUUAAUAAAUUUAAUUAAUAUUUCAUAUUAAUGUCAUCAGUAAAGAAUAUCUUUACUAUAUCUUCUACCUACAAGCUAUGAGACAAGUAGUAAAAAAAUUACAUUUUAUAAUUAAAUCAUUACAAUCUAAGUAUUUUUUUUGUAGAAGUAUAAAAUUAUUUUUAGUAUUUGCUACUGCAUGUAUUUAAAAUAAUUAACUGGUGGUACUAAAUUGUAAUUUCUCCCCGUCCCCCAUUAAAAUUGUUAGACGUAAAAAGUUAGUCGAUUUCACAAAUUCUGUGAUCUGAGAUUAAUGAGCAAGAGCACAUUCUUUCAACUCCAAGUUGAAGGCUAUAUUCGGAAAUUUAGCUCUGAAAAAGGAAAAAAGGAAACCAAAUUCAAAAAUUAUGAUUCAUUUAACUUUCCAUAGGAUGAGAAUUAGAUGUUUGUUCCAAAGCCAAGAACAUGAGCUGAAUGGGUUGCCAAUAAAAAAAUAACGCAUUCCCCCUCUGAAUGUGAGAUAUGGCAUUCAAAGACUAGUUACUUUGGUCUCCUGGCCUCCUUGUCAAGAUAAGAUGUUUUCAAACUCAACACUAAUAGAAGCUCCUAUGGGAAUCCGUCCUGAUCCUUCGGGGUAGGGUGACAUUCACUACUAUAAAAUGAUGAUUCAACAUCGCCUCAGCUACAUGGGUUCGCCUCAUCUACAUCGGUUGUCGAAAAACCGUUGUAGUAAAACAUACGGUGACAUUUUUAAAAUUAAAACUAACUAUGUUAAGGUGUUAAUGGCGGUUUUUUAUAAAAUCGCCUUUUAUGUGUAUGUUACAAAGACAGUUUUAUAAAAACCGUCUUUGUUCAUAAAUACACUAUUAUGGUUUUUUAAUCACCCAUCUUUGAAGUCACGUGAUUUUAAUUUCAAUUCUAUUUUCACUUUCGAAGCUGAAGACUACGCCAUUUUCUGGUGACAUACGCAUUUUCUGGUCACCGAAUUCAACAAUGUCAUCGACGCACUGCCGCCGGGGACGACCAACGACCUGCACGAGAUCACGAAGCGAAUGGUGGCAGGAGGCUUCGGGAAGGAGUGCUCGCACGUGUACAGAAGUUGCCAGAGAGAGUUCUUGGAAGAAAGUGUGUCGAGAUUAGGGUUACAGAAGCUCAGCAUUGAGGAGGUUCAUAAGAUGACAUGGCAGGACCUCGAAGAGAAGAUUAAGAAAUGGAUUAAGGCCUCCAACAUCGCUCUCAAGAUCUUCUUCCCCAGCGAGCGCCGUUUCUGUGACCGUGUCUUCUUCGGAUUCGCCUCCGCCUCAGACUUCUCCUUCAAGGAGUUUUGUCGCUGGAAAGGCUGUUCCGAAUCCUCGACGUGUUUGAGACGCUGCGUGACCUAUUUCUGGAGUUUGAGGCUCUGUUUUCUGAUCAGUUUAGUGUGUCGCUCAGGAAUGAAGCGAUUACGAUUUGGAAGAGGUUGGGGGAAGAGAUUAGGAGAAUUUUUAUGGAGCUGGAGAAUUUGAUUCCCGGGAUCCGGCAAAGAUUGCAGUUCCUGGUAGCGGACUUCAUCCGAUCACUCGCUAUGUGAUAAACUACCUCCGUGCCACAUGUCAGUCACGGCAGAGCUUGGAACAGUUUUUUGAAGACUAUGGCAGGAAAUAGUACCCAAAGCUUGAUGAUAGGGUUCCUUCCUCUUCUUCUCUGUCAGUGCACUAUCAAAGAAGCUCCUGGAAUAAGGUAUUAGGGAUUCUGAAGUUCGAUAGUAAUGGGUCAAUGCCCCCUAUUAGCUUGGCAAAGUCAACGAAGGAGAAACUCAAGUCGUUUAACACGGUUUUUGAGGAGAUAUGCAGGGAACAGUCUUCAUGGUUUGUCUUUGAUGAGCAGCUUAGGGAAGAAAUAAGAAUUUCGCUUGAGAAAAUCUUGCUUCCUGCGUAUGGAAACUUUGUUGCAAGGUUUUAGAGUGUUUCAGAGCUUGGAAAGCAUGCUGAUAAGUAUAUAUAUUGAGUACGGAACGGAGGAAAUUCAAGCAAGACUCAAUGGUUUGUUUCAGUGAAGCAGUGGAUCAACUGGUAGCCGAAAGUGAAGGUGAAGCUGCUACUAGUUGUUCUUGUGUAUUUGUAGUGUAAUUAAAUUAAAAUACAAUGUUUUGAUUAUCACAAAAUUGUAGUCUUGUAGUCGUGUACUAUAAAUACUACUGUAUGUUAUUCUUCUUAGCAUCAUUGUGGAGGAUUGAAAAAGGAUUUUAAAGUAAGAGCUAGAGUUACAAAAUUAACCUUUAUGUUGUAACAUUUGAGGUGGUUCUUAUUGGUUUGUAUUUCAUAGAAUACAUUAGAAUAUAUGAUAAGAUAUUCUAUGAAAUACAUACAAUUCUAUCAUGACUCAUGUGUUUGAAACUUAAUAAUGGCUACCAACAUUGGAUUUUCAUAUGGUGGUGUAAACUAAGCCGAUCAUUCCAAUAUUUGUUUAUCAGUUCAAUUAAAAAAAAUAAAUUACAUUUUAAUUUCUUAUAAUUUGACUUAAAAUACUUUAUUCUGUGUUACCUGAACCAUAUAGAAUUUGAUAUUUUAUCAUCUUAUGUUUUGUUUUAAUUUAUUAUCACAUUGAUAAUUUAGUACAUUUUAUCUAUUUUCUAAAGAUUAAUAUAUUUUACUCUCUCCAUUUUCAGUUCAAAAAAUAGUAUAUAUGUAAAAAGAAAAAAAAAACAAGUUGAGCCACUAAUAAUGGAGAUUAAUGUAAAAUAUAUUUGCUUUAAAUUGUUGUUUUAAGUUGAGCAAAUAUUUUUAAGAAAUACUAGUAAUUUUUUAAACAGAAACUGUAACAUAAAUGGCCUAAAUAUACUCUUUGACCAUUAGGCUUGAAAUGGUAGCAGUUACUAAGAUGCGUUUUGUUUUAUUAGUAAUAUUGGUGUUGGAAUUGAAGAAAUAAAGAUAUUUUUUAGAUGCAAGAAGGAGGAAACUGAAAACAAAGCAAGUAGUACUACUGUGGUGUGGUGUGGUGUUAUUUUGUUUCGUUGUCUGCUAAUAAUUGUAAGCAUCAGUAAUGGGCAGUGGGUGGCAGCACAUGGCCACCGUGCUCCACCAAUCACCAAUCCAACUUCGCUUUCUUAAAUCAUAUCGACAUAAGGACAAUUUCGUAAUAUUUUUAUUGUGGAAAGUGAAAACUAUGAAUCUAGAUUAUAUAACUAUAAAUAAAUGUUUUAAGAUUAAAAGUUAGUCCGUGGUUAUAUACAUGACCACUUAAUAAAGCUUCAUCAAGUGCUUUUUUUAAAAUAAAAUAAAAAUAACCAUUCAAAUAUAAUUUAAUAGUGUAGGUUCAAAAUAUUCUGCGUGAUUUCUAUUUGGAAAUGGUUGGUUGUCUUUUCUGGUAUGUGUGGCUAUACAAACAUUCUUGCUGAACUGUUUGUCAUCUUUCAUGAUUUCAAUGUACCUUGGAACUCUACUUAUUGGCAUCAUAAAAUUGUAGCAUACAUUAAUGUUUCAAGAAAGAUAGAGUCUAAUUUCAACAGUUUUUGAAUAAAUUUACACCAAUUAAUUUUGAAACAUGAAGAAUACUAAACUAAAACUGAGAGAAUAAUUAUGGGUUGAAGUUUGAACAAAUGAAAUGGGCGGCUGAGAUCAUUCACAUCAAUGCAUGUGAUAAAAGUAAAAUACAACAAACAUUAAUUGGAAGACUUAUUAAUUUGUUGGUUUAAAUUUUCAUAGUCUUAACAAAUUCCUCAUAGCUAAUUUGACCAUCACCAUCCAAAUCUGCAGUUGCAAUCAUCUCCUCCACCUCUCCAGCAGUUGUGUUUUCACCCAGUUUGAUCAGAACUUGCCUCAACUGCAUAGCACGGAAUGAUUUUAACAUAUGAGGGCAUGUGUAUGUCUUUGAGCAUAUAUGCAGUUCUUAGUUAAUACUAAUAAAUUCUAUAUGAAAAAAGGAAGUUAACACUGAUAAAUUAAAAAUGAUCAAGUGAAAACUGAAAAACAAGAUUUUCUUCCUGAUCUUAUUUUAAAAUGUCAAAACCCAAGACAUUUUUUUUAAAACCAAACAGGCAAACAACUAUUAUUCAGAGUAUGCGGAAAGGUUCAAAGUACCAUCCUGAAUGUGCAAGUGACAUUAAUGUUCCUUUUUCUUUUCUUUUUUGGCCUUUUUCUCAGUGACAUAUAUAAAUAUAUAUGUACAUGAUAUCCUAGCCUCUCACCAUACAAUUUCAUUCCAUUUUUAAUAUACAAUUAUGGAAAAGGUUGAAUUAUUAAAAAUAAUACACGGGUAAUUUUAUAUAUUUUUAUUAUUUUUUGUUUUAAAAUUAUUGAUUUUCCUAUUUUAAAUUAUUAAUAUUCUGUAAAUUUCUAGCUUUUUUUCAUUAUUCUUUAUUUAAAAUAUCUAGAUUUGAUCUUUACAAAGAAUACUACACUUCUAGCCUCUUUAAAAAGCGCUUCAACAAUAUCAUAUAUUAAAUAAGGUUACUUUAAUCUAAAUGUAUGAAUAUUAUAUACUUAUUAAAUACUUUUUAAUCUAUUUAUACUAACCUUAAACAUCAAUAAUUUUAGAAGGGCUGUAGCAAUUUAUAAAAUAAAUUUGUGUGUGUGUAAAAAAUAUUAAAAGAACAAUCAAAGGGAAGAUGCACUUUGCAACAUCUUGACACUACUUGCUUUUUGUUCAAGUUUGAAGUAACCUUACUUCGUCAGAAAUCUCAUGAAUACUUUGAUGGGCGAUUGCCGUCAGAAAAAGCAAGUUAAAAUAAAAAAAUGAAUAGAAAGAAUAAAAGUUUAUACAUAUACCUCACUUGCUGAAAUGUAGCCAUUUUGAUCCUUGUCAAACACCUUGAAAGCCUCUCUGUAUUCUUGCUCUUGAUGAGUUCCCUAACCGAGACAGAAAACAGAACUGAACUUAGUAUAUGGCUGUUCUAUAUAUAAUAGUAAUAAUGAGAAGAAUAUUAAUCUUAGCAAAAAAUGCAAUAUUAAUUCCUUACUUGCACUUUGGACUCUUGUUCAACAGGCAGAUCGGCAACAUGUACUCUAGCAGGAUUAAUCUUCUCAGAGACCGACGCAACAAUUCUCUCAAUAAACUUGUACUCAUAUUCAUCUCUGUUAUUAAUAUUUGAACAUUAAAUUGUGAGACAAGUAAAACUUAAUUAAUCCAAUAAAAAUUAAAACAUAAAAAGAUUGGUAUCAUUGGGUACCUGUAUUUGAAAUGAAAGCCAGACAAGUCAGCAACUUGACGCAGAGCCAUCUCCCAAUUCUGGAACUUUUCUGGAAAUCUUAUCUUAUGCUUAGCCAAUGCUUCUCCAUAAGUACCCUUCUGGUGUCUGACAUCAGAAGGAUACACCUUAUAAAACACUGGUAUAAUCAUCAUCCCAUUAUACUGGGCGCAGUGAACAAUGGAUGUAAGUUCAUCUAAGCAAAAUGAGGAAGAAGCAAAGUCUUCAGAGAGCACAGUGAUGGCAAUUCUGGAAUCUUUAAUUGCCUUCAAAAGUGCAGGUGUUAUUUCCUCUCCGCUGUGAAGCUUCUCUUCGUCAAAGAAGGUACGAAUUCCCUUGUCAGAAAGAGCCCUGUAGAGAUUGCUGGUGAAACCAUAGCGUGUGUCUUCCCCUCUGAAGUUGAGGAACACAUCGUAGAUGGAUGCACGGGAACUUGUUGUUGCAGCCAUUAUUAGAAGGAAAAAAGUUUAGAAUGAAACUUGAAGAAAUAUGAAAAUGAAAGUAUCCCAAAUUAAUGCUAAGUGUUAUAAAGAAGAUAACCGCCUUUGUGGAAAAUAGCUAAGAUGCUCUCACUUUUUUUCAUUUUAAAAAAAAAAGUACUUUUUUAUAAUCAAAUUGUUACAAAUAAACUAUAAAAGUAUUUUUAAUAAUUGGCAACUGGUGUACUAGUAAUUCUGCCCCACCCCCUAAAAGAAUCUUUAGAGAAUCAAAAUAUAUAUUAACUAAUAAGUGAUCUGAUAAUUUUUAAACAAGUGUUUUAUACAGAAGAUAGCCGCCUUUAUGGGAAAUAGCUGUGUUAUAAAGAAGAUAGCUGCCUUUGUUGAAAAUCUCUUGCUUUCUCUCAUUCAUUGUUAUAAAAGUCAAGUCAAGCUCUUAUAAAGGAAGAUGUUCUCACUUUUUUUUUUCAUUUUAAAAAAUACUUUUUGUAAUCAAAUUCUUGCAAAUAAACUAUAAAAGUAUUUUUAAUAAUUAACUGGUGGUACAACUAAUUAUGUAGCCCCUAUAAAAAAAUCUUUAGAGAAUCAAAAUAUAUAUUAACUAAUAAGUAAUCUGAUAAUUUUUAAUCACUAGAGCUUCAGAGUUCGUCUUUUAUAAAAAACAGAGUAAAAAUAUAAAAGAGAGAUGAAAAUAGAAAAGAGAUAGAAUCUGAGAAAAAAAAGUCAUGCGUGAAAAUGUUUUACACUAUCAAUUAAUCAUAUGAUAAAUUUGUUGAUUAUUAAACUAACUAGUUUAAAAUAUUAUCUAUUAAGUAAAAAUUUAUUAUGAAUGCACAUAGUUAUUUAAAAAAAUAUAUACUAAAAGGAUGUAGGACACUGAAUUAGGUUAGGACAAUCCAAAGCAUAACUCAGAAUCCAUUCUAAAGACUAUAUUGAGUCUAAUUUCAAAAUUCUAAUUCAUCUAAAUCAACUUUAAACCGAACUCAGAUGAUGAAACUAGUUGGAUAUUGUUCACCCUACAGUGUGAUAACUGUAAGGUUUGGAAGGAAAACAUUCUUCUCCAUUUUGACUAAAUCAGCAUCGAUUAUGCUAUUAGGAAAUGAUAAAUCAUUGAGUAUUACUAAAACUAACAGCUCUAGAUUUGUACACACAUAUAUAUGAUGUCUACCAGGCUUAAAUUACUGAGGUCAUAUUGUCAGAGAAACUGGAAUUCUACAUCUCAUAAAAUCUAAAAACAACCAGCUAUGUGUUCAUCCAAGAUAAUCCUUAUGAUGAUAAUGAAUAAGACAUUCACUUGAAGUAUAUUUGAUUCUAGAGAGGCAUAGAACAAAACACAUCUAUUUUUUAUUUACAAGCAAGCACAAAUCUAUUGAUAUGCUCAAACUCAGUGAAUUAGCAUUCCACUUUCUGAAGCUGUAAGCAGCCAAUAUAGUAGUAUGAUUAAACCUAAGAAACACUGUUACAAAUUUAAGAAGUUUAAGUCUUUCUUCUUCCUGCUCAAACUAUUUCUUCAUUGGAAGUUGAAUGCACCUGACCCUGCACCUUGCAAUAGGAAACCCCUAGAAGACCUAUUCAAAGCAAAAAGGAAUCAAUCUAAACUAAGAGGAAAAAUAAACCAUGGAAAUCUCAUCAAACAUUCUCACCAAAUCUCAUUUGCAUGGAGUCCUGCUGUAUCUGUAUAAAAAUGUUGAAUCGCAGUUCUUUCAUUCCUUCAAUCCAUUAUCGCGACUUUUAGCAAUGCAAAAAUCUUUUAGUUGAAGAGAGCAGUCACUAGUUUCCAGCAAUGGAAACCACUGCAGCAGGAGCAACUAGCAAUAGUUUGUAUGGGGAUUUUGAACCUUACAGAAGAUGGCAUACAGAGGAAGGACAACAGACUCUUGAGGAGUUUUCUGCAUUGCUCAUCAGUUUAUUGUCUCACCUCCACUAUCCAUUUUUUCAAGAUAUAAUCAUCAUCAUAUGAUCCCUACUUAGCAGCAUCUUCCUAAUCAAUUAUGUUGUUUACUAAAUUCCAGUUAAUCAGUUUCAAAUUACUACUAAAAAGAGCACAUGUUAUGACGCCAAAACGAGGUCGGUUCAAAUAAACCAUCUUACAAUAUAUGGCCGAGACAAUUUUAUAAAUAUGAGGAGUUUAACAAAGAAGGUUAUAUAAAAACUGCCUUAGAAUAUAUGGCGGUUGGCAUCGCUGUGCUUCGGCACGGCUGCGGGGUUUGAGGUCUGGCACAGUUGCUUCUUGCAAUGCUGUUAGUGUUCGUGAAGGACCCUUUCCCGCACGUGCAAGCCUAGGAACUGGAAGGGCUUGCUGGUUUCUGCGAGCCUGGCAGAGAGUCAAGUGACAUCGUUUUCCUGUUGGCAAAACCCUCGUCUCUCGCUAGUACCCUGGGAACCAAGGUUUUUUAUUUUUCUUCUCUUAUUUUAAAACCCUUUCUAUAUAGCUCCAUAACUUCAUUUUUUAUAUAUGGAGUGGUGGCUGCCGAAGGUAAGUUUUCAUCUUCUUUGAACUUCAUCAUUGCUAUUGCCUUCUAAAUUUCUGCAUUAUCAUUUUAAUUUGUGCAAAAGAAAAUGUUCACACCCUUGUUUAUUUUCUCUGGAUUGCUUCACAGAAGGAGAGCAGAGAGCACAACCAAGUGUUCAUCUUUGACUCACCAUGAAGCUCAUCAGGUUUUUCUCUCUUUGUUGAUUUAUCUGUGAAUUUUCUUCUGUUGUGUUUUUUUAAUUAGCAUCUCAUUCAGUGCAUUACAAGGUGAUGCAAGUAUAAAUCUGAUUUAGAAUCAUUCGAUAAGCAUGUGAAAGGCCUGCAUUUUGUGCUUAUGAACAGGGAAAGGAUAUUCUACUUGCUUUGUUGGAAAAUCCCAUUCUAGUAUCAGCCUCAAACUGUUUGAAGGCUAACUCAGAGAGGAAGUUCUCAGUAUCUGAUGUGUCUAGUCCAGAGAGAUCAAAAUGGGUUUAUAUAUUCCAGAGAGAAUAUGCUACCAUUGACCCCGCCCUUGUUGAUGUAAUUUCUUAACUUUUUGCAAUGUCAUUAAGCUAAUAUGUAUUACUUCAAAUGUAAUCAUUUCCCUUUGACUUCAGUGAUGAUGUGUAAGAGAUAAUUUUUGUAAAAUUGUAAAUUUAAUUUUAAACUAGUUCAUAGUUCAUUAUUGUAUGCAACUAUUAAUCUUGUGCAUGCAGACAAUUCAUACUUAAUUGGACUAAGUCACAUCAUAUGUGGAAUUUCUUUUUCCGGUCCAUUUUUUCAAAUGUUCCUUCUACUAGGUGUUCAAAUAUUGGUUUUAUUAUUUUUAAUUUAACACUGCAGGAUAUCAGUUGCCGCAGAGAUACUGAUGCAAUUUUCCUUUCAGGGGACUUCUAGAAUACAUAUACAUUGGAAGGGAGCCGCAAAGAUAGUUCUAGGAGCAUGUACUCAAUAUCUUGAUUCAUAUGGUCAAUUGCUAUCCAUUGAAGAAGAGAAAAAGGUUAGGGAUGGCAGUUUCAAGUCCAGAGAGCUUGCUGAUGGAAUGAAAUUCAUUUAAUUGAACAUUGGAGAUGUUAUUUUAUUUUUCUUUUGGUUUAGAACAAUCAGAAAUUAAGGAAAAAUACAUGGAACAAGGUUUCCAACAAAUUUCUUUUUUCUUAUCAAUGUGAUUAUAGUGUCAUUUGAAGUUACUCUGAUAGAGAACCAAAUCAAGAAAUGGGGAAAAAAUCAAAGCACAUUGUUCCUUUAUUGGAAGCCUAACUCUCACCUUGCAAUGCUAGAAUUGGAACAAGCAACUCCCCAGAAGACCCAUUUAAACAAAAAAGGAAUUAUUCUCAACCAAGAGGAAAAUUAAACCAUGAAAAUCCCAUUACGGUUUCUCACCAGAAUCUCAUUUGCAUGCAGUACGAUAUUUGUAUGAAAAAUGUUUAGUCACAAUUCUUUCAUUCAUUCAAUCCAUUAUCAUAACUUUUUGCAAUACAAAUAUUUCUAGUUUAGCCGUUUAAGAGGGCAUUCACCAGUUUCCUGCAAUGGAAAAUGAUGCUGGAGCAACUAGCAAUAGUUUGUAGGGGAUUUUGAACCUUACCGCAAAUGGCUUACAAAGGAAGGACAACAGACUCUUGAAGAGUUUUCUGACUUUGCCUUCUCUGUUUCUUAGCAUUUUCACCUCAACAUUUAUUUUUAGAUAGUGGUGUCUGUUGGACUUUGACUUGUUUAUUUCUUAGGCUGCUUCCUAUCCUUAUUAAUGGCACGUUUUUAAUCUCCAUUCAUAAAUUUAAAAACAACAAGCUAUCAGCCAUCCUAAGACAAUCCUUAUCAAGAAAAUGAAGAAGACAUUAUCUAGCUUAAAUUACACUAGUUAUUCCUUAGAUUUGGUGAAAUUUUCACAACCUUUUCAUACUUUUUUUACCCCUACACUAACCCCUCAAUUAUUUCAAAAAUAUUAUUCCAGUACCUCUUAUACAUUAUACUAACCUUCCUUAAUUGUUUGAAGAACAUUACACUGUGUUCACUUAUAAAGAAGGUAGUUGUAAAUGUUAAAAAAAAUAAUACUUAAUAAUUUAGAGAGGCAUAUAGAAGUAGAAGUAAACACAAAUCUAUUUAUAUGCCCAACUCAAACUCAAUAAGAAUCCUAAGUAGACAUUCUUCUUACAAGUAUAAAAAAUUUAACUUUCUCAACUGCUAUGAACAGUUGAUAUAGAUCAUAUAGUAGUAUGCUAGCUAAAUCCUAAGAAGUACACUUUCAAAAUUUAACUAAUUGAAGUUUUUCUCCUUCCUGAUCAAAUUAUUUAGCAUAACCAGCGGGAAUCUGAUCAUCGUAGCAAUUAGAAGAGAAAAAGUUAAACAUCCAAAAACAAAUGUAUAUACAUACAAAAAUAAAUAUAAAAAUAAAUUACAAAUAUAUUAUUAUAUUGUUUUAUAGUAGAACUUGUAAGGGAAAAUCUAAAAGUAAACAAAAAGUAUAUUAAAGAUUUCUUUUUACUUUAUUUUAAUUACAAUGUAUAUAUAAGAUAAAUACCUGUUGGUUUAUGUAAUUUUGAAGUGUAACUAUAAAAAUAUAUACAAAGAUAAAACUUGAAAGGUUAUAUAUAGAAAAUGCAUAAAGUAGUGAAAGAUGAAUAUAAAUGAGUCAAAAGUACAUGAUGAAGAUAGGGUGAAGAGCAGUUGGGUUAAGUCAAUUUUUUUCAACUGAAACCAAAAUAAUAAAAUAAAAAACAAAAAAAAAUAAGAAAAAAGCUAUGGAAAACUUGCGUGUUCCCAAAGCUAUGGUUUGUAGUAAGGAGCGGCUUUCUGAUGCAGAGCUGCUGAGAUAUGGAUCAUCAAAUCGAAUAUCUUCCUCCAUACUGCCUUCUUCUCUGAAUAUAUGGAUUCCAGUUGCUUUAAUGAGUGAGCUCUCUAAGUCUAACACACCUUCUUUUCUUUUUUGCUUUUCAUAGUCUAACACACUUUGAUAUCUAACCUCCACAUGGUUCCAUUCCUUUUCCCUAGCCACUUCUAAAGCAAACAGAGAUCUAGAGGGACGAAAGAUAUGUGUAUGAUCCAAUUUCAACAUACUGUAACUUUCAUAAUCGAGCAGAUAGUUUAGAAUUUUUCCAUCGAUGAACACCUUGGGUAUAACGAAAGUUUGCAGGUCAUCCGACACAGGUGCAAUAAGAAGACAAAGAAGUUUGGAAGGGAAUUUAUUACGAAACCAGAAAGAACUUGAAUGUCCACUGCUUUGCUGAUCCAACCACUCUGGUAUUCUUGUUCCUGGAAACACAAACUCGGUUCCUCCAGCCUCAUACAGUUCCUGUUAGUCAUAAUUCAUACAGAAUUCAUAAGUUUAACAACAUUAAGUGCACUAUACAUCAUCAAAUCCUGUACAGUAACAAAAAAGACAAUACCUGAUUUAAAAACAUGCUUUUACUCGAGGAAGUCAAGGAUGCACAGUUUCUUGCAUGGAAAUAACAUAAGUUUGGUGGAAGCCCUCUAAUUUCCUGAAGAUGCUCGCAAUCACUCACCAUAAGUGCUCUUAAAAAUUUCAAUUCUUUGAAGAAUUCAGGAAGGAUUGUGAAAUUAUUCCCCGAUAGAUCUAAAUAUCCUACACGAGCAAACCUCUUGGAACCUGUUAAAAAAAAUCAUCACAGAGAUUGCAAUUCAUGGCAGAAAACGAAAGUUUCAUUGAAGACGGUAUUGAGCCCACUUUUUCUUCACCUCCUUCCGAUUCUACCCAUUGCCACCUGUUACAAUUUUUAAUUUGGAAUCGAAACAGAUUGGGCAUCAUGGCUAAGCUACAUCGUAACUGAACAAUUCCACAGCUCCACAGGGAUAACAGUUGGAGUCCAAUAAGAUUUUGAAAUGAAAAUGGCAAUUCUUUUAUGGGAAGGCCAUCCAAUUCAAGGCUCUUUAUGUUUUCCAUCUCUCCUAAUAUUUCUGGAAAAUAAUCAAGACUGGAACAGUGAGAAAGUUCAAGUGUUUCAAGAGAGGUCAAGUUGAGAGGCGGAAAACUCGUAAGCUUCCUGCAACCAUAAGCACUCAACUUUUUUAAGUUUUUUCAGAAAACCAAUGGAGUCAUCAACUGCAACUAAACUCUCACACCCUUCAAAUGAAAGUUCCCUCAAAUUUGCGAGAUCAGAUACAUCAGGUAUCUUUGUUAAAAAUUCGCACUGGUCAAAAUUUAAAACUGUUAGAUGUCCCAACUUCUGCAAGGAAAAAAAAAAGAAAUAAGAAACAAAUGAAUAAAUUUAAUUCACAGAAUGAGAAAAAUAUAAUCUUUAAACUUGCCUUCGAUGGGCCAUGGAACUCAAAUGACUUAAUGGAACUGUUAGGUAACUUGCAUAUAACAAGGUUCAUCGGAUCAAAGUUCGAUGGUAAACAAUUUGAAGGAUAUCUGUGCCAUUCCAGUACUCUCAAACCUUCUGGAAAAUAACUGGGACCUUUGGAAAAUUUGCCAUUUCUAAUAAUAAGUAUUUUAAGGUUUUCCAUCUUCAUGAAGGCGUUUUCAUUCCAUUCCACUGUUUCUUCUUUGUCAGAUAUUGAGAAAUCCACACAUAUGAUUUCAAUUUUACUAGUUCCCUGUUAAUGCAAAAAGGCAUGAAUCAACCACAAUACAACUUGUGUGAAAUAUCAAUUGACUCGCUUAGAAAAAUUUACAAAUUAUCAAGAAAAAGUUAACUAUGAUGUAAAUAUGAGAUAGACAAAAAAAUUCAACUAUUCAUGAGCUCACUCACCGUGUUGUGUUUUAAAACUUGAAUUAUAUCUUUUGGUGACAAUAAUCUCUUGCACUUCCCGGGCUCUUCUGGUGAUCUCUGCCGCUCAAUUUCUCUACCCAUGUCCUGAAUCAGGUCGUGCAUUUCCACAGUAUCACACCAGCUACGCUUUAUGAGAGAUUUUUCAACCAACACCCCAAUAUGAUGCUUCUUGCAGUUACCAUAAAGAGCACGGAGUAUAUCAUCAACCUCUGUCCAUUUAUACCCUUUGAAGCAACACGCAAUGUCAAGAAAAACAUUCUUUUGUUCUUCCUCCAAAGCAUCAAAGCUUACAUUUAGAAUCUUUAGGAUUUCAUGACUGGGAAUUCUUUUAUAAUAUUCCACAGCAGAUUCCCAUUCUGCUACUGUUUUAUCAAACAAGUUAGAACCUAUGAUUUCCAACGCCAAUGGAAGGCCAGAAGCAUAAGCUACUACACCAUUCAAGACCUCCUCAUAACUUGGAUGAAUUUUCUCUCUUUUAAAAGCUUUCCAUGUAAGCAAUUGAAGUGCAUCAUUCUGAUUCAAAACCUUCACCUCAUAAGUUCUUUCAACCUCAUGAUAUUUUAGCAGAUGUUUGUCCCGAGUGGUAAUGAUGACUCUGCUACCCGGACCAAACCAAUCAGGUCUUUCAACAAUAGCCUUCCUUUAAUUGCUCGUGUUUGUCAACAUCGUCUAAAAUCAAGAGAACCUUCUUUCUCUGGAGCCUAUGUUGUAUCGUUGAAGCUCCUUCUUGCCAACUUGUUAAGGUGAUGUCCUUCUCACCAAGUAAUUUUGAAGGAAGGAUGCUUUGAAGGUGUUUUAACCCAUGUUUAUUUGAUUCUUCUCUCACGUUUUGAAGAAAACAGGAUUCAUCAAAAUGGAGAGCAAUCAAAUUAUAAACUUCCAGAGCAAGUGUUGUUUUUCCUAACCCGCCCAUUCCAUGGAUCCCUAUGAUUUGGACAAGAUCAUCGGAUCCAACAUCCAAAAGCUUCAUUACCUCUGUCACUUGUGAUUCUAGACCAACUGGAUAAUCCGCAAUAUGUAAAGAAGUACGAUUAAUCUUCCUAGAGACCUCCUCAACAAUACUCCCAAUAAACUUGUAUUCAUAUGCAUCUCUGUUUCAAACAAACAAAAAAAGUUCUGAUGAAGUCAGCCUAAAAUCCUUGCAUCCAUGUCUCGAUAUGUACAAUAAUUGUCAAGGUUAACAAGAACAUUUCUUUUCUAUUUGAAUUUUACUAGUUAAAUCAAUAGACAAGUAAAACCUAAUCCAAUAAAAACCAUAAAGUAAAAUAUAUUAGUAUGGUUUUAUACCCAUCUUCGAAAUGAUAGCCAGACAAGUCAGCUACUUGUUUCAAAGCCAUCCUCCAUUUCUGCAGCUUCUCCUUCUUAGCUUUGAACCUCUUCUGAUGCUUAGCCAUUGCUUCUCCAUAACUACCUUUCUGGUGUCUGACAUCAGAAGGAUCUACCUUAUAAAAGACCGGUAUAACCAACAGCCCUUCACUCUUGCAGUGGAGGAUGGUUACAAGUUCAUCUAAACAAAACGAGGAAGAAGCAUAGUUUUGAGAAAGCACAGUAAUAGCAAUCCUGGACUCUUGAAUUGCCUUGGAAAGUGCAGGUGUUAUUUCGUCUCCUCUGGGAAGCUCCUGAUCAUCAAUGGAAGUGUAGAUUCCCCUGUCAUCAAGAGCUUUGUAGAGAUUGCCAGUGAAACCAUGGCGUGUGUCUAAACCUCUGAAGCUGAGGAACACAUCAUAGAUGGAUGCAAGGGAACGUGUUUUUGCAGCCAUUAUUA
rnacentral:lncRNA from 1 species